UUCCUUCAAUAUUCAAUAAUCUCCAGCGUCCCGACGCUAAUCAGAGAUAAUUGCUAAAAUUCUUCAAAUUUUUUUUCUUUUUCUUUUUUUUUUUCUGGGAGUUAAAAUUCUGUCUUUAUCUGCUUGCUCGGAGCUUCUUCUUCUUUUUUUUUUUUUUUUCCAGAAAUUUCCAAUUACAUUUCAACCGAACAUCAAUUUAGGUCUCGGAAUUUCGCACCCAUGGCUCAAACCAGCAACAAUGCACUUGGCGUUGAUAACACCUUUAGAAGGAAAUUUGAUCGAGAAGAAUAUUUGGAACGAGCUCGGAGCGCGAAAGACAGGAGGCGGAGGGGAAAAAUAAAUCCAAAUCAAAAGGCCCCCCGUGCAAAGAAAGCCAUUGAAACAUAGAGAUUAUGAAGUGGACCUUGAAUCUUGCUUGGGAAAAACUCAAGUACGAUAUACCCAAACCGUAUCAGGAAAUGGCUCCAACAGAUGCGAAUGCACAUGGAAGAGAAUAAAACAAAAAAAUUGCAUUUAACUAACAAGUAACACACAGAAAAAAAUUUGAGCGAAACAUAGAAAGAACUCGAAAUUGAUUUUGGGAGGGAAAAAAGAGAGAGAAGAUCCAUGAUUUCUCUGUUGUUCUUAAAAACUCUUCACUGCAUCUUCCAGCCAAUAUUGAAGCUUUUUCGAUUCAUCUUGUGAUGGCUGUGGAGUGUUAGAACGGAUCCACUCUGCGCAAAGGGAUUGGAUUUGGCCAUCUGGGUAAUGCUGUUGACGGAAAGGAGAAUGACCUUGAAAUUUCUUAGACCCAAAAACCCCAAGU